UACGUAGGGUGCAAGCGUUGUCCGGAAUUAUUGGGCGUAAAGAGCUCGUAGGCGGUUUGUCGCGUCGAAUGUGAAAAUCCAGGGCUUAACCCUGGACCUGCAGUGGGUACGGGCAGACUAGAGUGCGGUAGGGGAGAUCGGAAUUCCUGGUGUAGCGGUGAAAUGCGCAGAUAUCAGGAGGAACACCGGUGGCGAAGGCGGAUCUCUGGGCCGUAACUGACGCUGAGGAGCGAAGGCAUGGGGAGCGAACAGG
rnacentral:rRNA from 1 species